AAGUCGUAACAAGGUUUCCGUAGGUGAACCUGCGGAAGGAUCAUUAACACGUAUCCAAACGUUAAAACCCCCCCCGUGAACCUUCAUCCUGCUCUUGUAACCCGCGUAGUUCGCAAUCUCUGAUAAAUCAUAGCCCGGAAAGUUGUAGUGAUUCAGAGACCUCUGGCUACGUGCGAACAUUGGAACAGUUACAAUCGAGCGGUAGUUCUAUAGGCAAUGUUUCCCCAAGCGGUCUACAGGAAUCGUAGAAGCGCUAUCCUUGCACAAUCAAUGACACCGUACACUCGGGCAGGAGCUUUGCCGGUCCCCAUGCCCCCUAAUAACCCCACAGUUUAAUGUGAAUCUCAAUGUAAUAACCGAACAAACUGUUAACAAUGGAUAUCUUGGUUCUC
rnacentral:misc_RNA from 1 species